CACGAACGCUGGCGGCAGGCUUAACACAUGCAAGUCGAACGCCCCGCAAGGGGAGUGGCAGACGGGUGAGUAACGCGUGGGAAUCUACCUAGUUCUACGGAACAACACAGGGAAACCUGUGCUAAUACCGUAUACGCCCUACGGGGGAAAGAUUUAUCGGAAUUAGAUGAGCCCGCGUAAGAUUAGCUAGUUGGUGGGGUAAUGGCCUACCAAGGCGACGAUCUUUAGCUGGUCUGAGAGGAUGAUCAGCCACACUGGGACUGAGACACGGCCCAGACUCCUACGGGAGGCAGCAGUGGGGAAUAUUGGACAAUGGGCGAAAGCCUGAUCCAGCCAUGCCGCGUGAGUGAUGAAGGCCUUAGGGUUGUAAAGCUCUUUCAGUAGGGAAGAUAAUGACGGUACCUACAGAAGAAGCCCCGGCUAACUUCGUGCCAGCCGCCGCGGUAACAC
rnacentral:rRNA from 1 species